UACGUAGGGGGCAAGCGUUGUCCGGAUUUAUUGGGCGUAAAGAGCGUGUAGGCGGCCAUACAGGUCAGCUGUGAAAACUCGAGGCUCAACCUCGAGACGCCGAUGGAAACCCCCUGGCUAGAGUCCGGAAGAGGAGAAUGGAAUUCCUGGUGUAGCGGUGAAAUGCGCAGAUAUCAGGAAGAACACCCGUGGCUAAGGCGGUUCUCUAGUACGGUACUGACGCUGAGACGCGAAAGCGUGGGGAGCGAACAGG
rnacentral:rRNA from 1 species